GACGGAUGUAAACACAACCAUAAAUCCCAUUACCCUGCUAAAUACUGGGUCUGGAUUUAAAACACACACACACACACACACACACACACACACACACACACAAAGUAAGCAAGAGGCAAGGUUUCGGCAGAGUAAAUUGUCAUGUGUGAGACUGUGAUUAAGGUGAUGUUUGCCAGCACACUCAGCCUCAAUGACACUUCAAGUGAUUUUCCACCAGCAUUCAUCCAUCACUGAGAAAAGCAUUCCAGGAAGGAAGCACUUGAAUGGAGUUCAUGUCCGUGGCAGACUGUAGCAGAUGAUGGCUUCAUAGACUCUUGUGUCUUCCCAGGACUCUCUUGUAAAGUGAAUUUCUCUUCCUACUGAACACGAUUCAUUAUGGCAUCAACUAGGUUGGACCCAAGACUUUCAGCCCUAUGGAGAUCUCUAGACCUCUGCUCAGAAGAGGACCCCAAAGCCCCUGCCAGGGACACUGAUCCCUGUGAAGGAAACAGCUGGUAGUAUGGUUCCCAGCAGAACCGCACGAUCUAUUUAUUAUUGUUGUUACAUUUAUUUAUCUGGUGUGUGGGUAUGUUUGUGUGGAUAUAUGUGCUCAAAUUCAAAUUAUCCUGGGAUAAGGCAGUUAGCACCCAUGUGUGAAGCCCAUCUGAUGAGGACCAAGCUUUUCAUAUUUUGAGAUUUACAGGAGUGUGAUACCAUGACCACAAUUCUUGAAAACUAUGCCACACGACAGAAGGUGGAAUGUCUGACUUGAACCUAACCUGCCAAAGCAAAAAAGAGUAUAUGUGGAACUGAAUAAAGUUAUGGUCUCUAAGAGCCACCAGGGACCCAGAGGUAGUGCGUCCUUUGAGGAGAGCUGGAUGCCUGUCAUGUACUUCAGAGCAGGCUGGGAAGCACCCAGGGUGUCUUUUUCUUAUUAUGGACAUGGUUUUCCUCACUCUGGUUCUACAAGUAGAUGCCACAAUAAAACUGCCUCUGGACACUUCACACUCAAGCUGACGUGACCCUCUAACCACAGAAUUACCAAGUCAAAUGGACUGUGGCCCGCUUUGUAAAGCCUU
rnacentral:lncRNA from 1 species